CCGGCGGCGUUAAAAAUGAACGAUAUUCAUUUGAUAAUAGUAAAUUGGUGAAAAAUACACUGGCUAUUAACCAAUCAAAACCCCGGAUUCUUACAUAAGGUGUAAUUAUUAUUAAAAGCUUAUUAUUCAAUAAUAAUUACACCUUAUGUAAGAAUCCGGGGUUUUGAUUGGUUAAUAGCCAGUGUAUUUUUCACCAAUUUACUGUUAUCAAAUGAAUAUCGUUCAUUUUUAACGCCGCCGGGGUAUUUGCUAAAAGGAUAUGCCUUUUUUACCCUCUCUGCCGUGGUAUUUGCCAAAAAAUACUCUAUCCGACUGGACGCUUGUAACGUCAUGAUCAUCAAUGCGUUUUAGUACAUUAACAUUCGGUGUAAUUAAACAGAUAUAUCAUGUUA
rnacentral:lncRNA from 1 species